rnacentral:rRNA from 1 species
GGCGUAAAGCGCACGCAGGCGGUCAAUUAAGUCAGAUGUGAAAGCCCCGAGCUUAACUUGGGAAUUGCAUCUGAAACUGGUUGGCUAGAGUCUUGUAGAGGGGGGUAGAAUUCCAUGUGUAGCGGUGAAAUGCGUAGAGAUGUGGAGGAAUACCGGUGGCGAAGGCGGCCCCCUGGACAAAGACUGACGCUCAGGUGCGAAAGCGUGGGGAGCAAACAGGAUUAGAUACCCUGGUAGUCCACGCUGUAAACGAUGUCGAUUUAGAGGUUGUGGUCUUGAACCGUGGCUUCUGGAGCUAACGCGUUAAAUCGACCGCCUGGGGAGUACGGCCGCAAGGUUAAAACUCAAAUGAAUUGACGGGGGCCCGCACAAGCGGUGGAGCAUGUGGUUUAAUUCGAUGCAACGCGAAGAACCUUACCUACUCUUGACAUCCAGCGAAUCCUUUAGAGAUAGAGGAGUGCCUUCGGGAACGCUGAGACAGGUGCUGCAUGGCUGUCGUCAGCUCGUGUUGUGAAAUGUUGGGUUAAGUCCCGCAACGAGCGCAACCCU